CUGGGAACGAGAAUGCACGCGCCCGUAAGCAAUCGGGUUUGCGAUCAUUCUCGAGCAUGCGUACUAACUUUUGGCGCCAUUAUCGAACGUUAGCCGUUGGGAUUUGCUUCGACGAGGGAUACGGAUAAAAUACAAGCGUAUUAAAGCCUCGUUUGUUGCAGUAUAUUCUGGACAAAUAAACAAUUUAUUAGGAAAAUACGUUCAAGAAACGUCUCGUGCUGUACUAGCCUAAUUCUGGCAAAUGUUAUUUACUUUCUUCACCUUCGUGUCGAAGACUGUUGUUUGCUGAUGGCCAAAUCACGACAGCGGACAUCAAUUAUUCAAAAUAUGUUCUUAUAGCUUCACGUUUACGAUACGAAACACGUUUUAAUGUAAGAUUAUUUAUUUUUUGUAUAUGUAGGUUCUAGUUGAAAGUGACAGCGAGAAUGAAAAAAGUGCAAACAACAUUGAAAUAUCCAGUUCACUACUAGCUCAAAUCCUGCGACAUAUCACUUGCUAGUAGCCCAGUCUAGUUUAACCUUUCCCAAUCAAGAAUCAUCUCCUGAAUCAGGCAUACUGGCAACACUGGUUCAUUUGAUAAUGUAAGUUUUAAACUGGUAUUUUAGAUUAUAGCCUCGGUCAAAUGAGGAUGAAAGUCAUGCAUGAAUUGCUUAUAAAUACACAAAGGACAUUUCAAGUUCCACAUGAACAAAAUAUUAUUAAAGCUUUGAUGAGUGUUCCAACUAUGUUUCAACUUAAUUAAAAUACUCUCAUCCUCGUUUGAUCCAUAAUUAUUUGUUGAUUUUACUCGAUACUAAAUAGUGAAACAUCGAAUCCAGAGAAAAUCUUUAUAUAUGCAGAACCCACUGUAAUUCCGAGCUGUAAUCACAUAAUUAUAUAAAAGUCGUUUCAGUAGCAGCAAAAGCCAAACUAAACACCAAUCUAGGAUUAAUAGGUUUAGCUUUUAGGCCGAGAAUAAUACACGAUUGACAAUUUUGUGGCUGAUUGAUUUAAUAGUAUACUGUAUAUUGAUGUUGUUGUUGUAUACAGGACAUCUGACUUACAUGUCAAAUUAAUAGUCAAAUCUAUGAUUAUAUUGAGCAUGGCAGAUUUGACAUUUGAAACAUUGUUGAUGUUAAUAACCCAAUGAGUCGCAUUGCGCCCUGAUGCGCACUAAGUAUUUAUUAUUUUACUCUGGCUAUCUAACGCUAGCAAUUUUACUCAUCAAGGGGAGAGCACUGGCGGUUAAUGUGUUAACUAGCCUAUCUGCCCAUGUGUACAUAGUUAACCCAUUGAGUCGCAUUGUGCCCUAAUGCGGCCUAAUUUAUUAUUUUACUCUGCCUAUCGCAGGACAAUUUUACUCAUUAAGGGCAGAGCGCUGGCACUUAAUGUGUUAACUGGCCUAUCUGCCCAUGUGUCUAGUUAACCCAUCGAGUCGCAUUGCGCCCUAAUUUAUUAUUUUACUCUUUCUAACGCCAGACAAUUUCACUCAUUAAGGGGAGAGCACCGGUACUUAAUGGGUUAACUGGCCUAUCUGCCCAUGUGUGUUGUUAACACAUUGAGUCGCAUUGUGCCCUAAUUUAUUAUUUUACUCUGUCUAACACCAGAUGAUUUUACUCGUCAAGGUAAGGGCGCUGGUGCUUAAUGGGUUAACUGGCCUAUUUGCCCAUGUUUACAGUUAACCCAUUGAGUCGCAUUGCGGCCUACUUUGUUUUUUUACUCUGUCUCGAGAGGAGAAUGCUGGUGCUUAAUGGGUUAAUAUUGAAAAUAUAGAUCAACAUUUGUCAAAACUCAUGACUUGUGCAAUCAUUUCUGUAAUAAUUAAGAUAUUAAAAUACCAAAUAUAAUGCCUUAUGGCUUAUUUCAAAUAGGGAGAUGCUAUGUGACUAUGUCCAUUGAAAUUUAGUGGAUUUGUUGUAGCUACAUCAAAUAAAUGCUAGCCAAAAACAUAUUCAAGUCAAUCGAAGAGAAUGUAGAAUUGCACUUUACAUAAAAUUCCCUAGUUAUUGUACAUUAAUGAAAAAGCAUUUGAAAUGGAAAUAUAUUGUUUUAAUUUUAUUUCUAUGGUUUGUACUAUGAUAUACAUGGGCUAUACACUCUUUGGGAACCCGCAGGGCUGUUGGCAGAGCAUUUCCAUGAUCUGGAACUUCAGUCCUAAACACGAUGUGUGGGUGCGAAGAUGUUGUGUAGGAACAGAACUGUACAGAUUAGAAAUAUGAUUACUGAUAUUUUCCAAAGAAAAACUAUUAAUAUAUAGAAGAGGAAAGAAAGAGGCAAUAAAUAGCCCAAAGUAUCUGUUGUACAUUUGAAAUUUAAAAAUGGUAGGCUUAUUAAGCAUGAGAUCCAGAGAAAAACAGUAAUGCAGAACUACAUUCUCUUAAGUUGUCAAAAUUAAACGCUACCAGUCUUGGUCUCAUUUCAAACUUGAAUAACGAAAAGUCUAAAAAUAUAAAAACUAUAAGAACAGAUCAGCUAAGUCCAGUUAUAAAAUUAAAUGAUGAAGGAAAGCUGUCAUUUUAGGAAAGUAUUGUUUUGGGGUGUGUGAACUCAUGAGGUUACAUGUUUCUGGUGAAUCUGCUUGCUGCAGCAAAAAUUUAUUAAUCAUUUGUGACAUAAUUCACAAGAUGUCUAUUUUAACCUGUGGGUUGCCAAACUUCUUAAAUAUGGAAUUUGUUUUGUCUGACCAAGAUAUAAUGAAUACCACUAGUGACAUGAGUAUGUCCAAUUAAUAUUUAACUAGAAAUAAAUGCAUGCAGCAACCCCUAGCCUAUAUUUUCCAAACAUUGAUUUAACAUGAACUAUUAGCAAUUGGCCAGCACUGAACACAGGCUCACGUUGUGUCAAGUGUUGUCAAGGCAACAUAAUGUCACAUAUUUUAAAUUUUUUUGAGUAAUUUUGCAAGUGUUCAUACCACAGAAUCUACCAUACAUAAUUUUAAACAAAUAGAUAGGUGAAGUAAUUCAAACAAAAUGAUUUUGAACUUUAUUACUCUACUCUGUCGAACGCCUAUUCUACUCGUAAAGGGGAGAGCCCAGGUGCUUAAUGGGUUAAAUAAGAUCGUAUAGUUAUAUGUAUAUCAUGUAUUAUGUUUUUAUGCAGUCUCCUUGAAUCACUUGUACCAGGCUAUGGAAAUUCAUGUUUCCAAUUUUGUAUUUAUUUUUCUUAUGAUACAGUAUACUGUAAAUUUGAAUAAUAUUUGUGUGCUUAUAGUGAGCUUAUUUUUAGGAGAGUUUGUUGCGAGGCAGCAUAUAUUUUGAUAUUUCAAAAUAUUACUGUAUAUUGGUAUGUUAUAUUUAAUGCUUUUGGAAGGGUUAUAGGGGUCGGGUGUGAUAUACUUUUUCAGGUAUUUUGUGUCUGAUGUAUGUAAGAGCUUUAUUAUUGGGUUUCUUGGUGAGACCUUAUAUCUUAUGUGUCCUAUAACCCUCUGUAAUUGCGGAUUAUUGCAUACAUUCUAAUUGUAUUUUUUUUGUAGGAGUCCAAAGAUGCAAAUGAUACAAUUUCAAACUUAUCACAACCCAUACUGUGGCCGUUGGCAGCGAACUAGAAUACGACUAGAAACUGUCAAUCAUACAUUAUUUAGGGAAAGGAUGAAAGUUCCAUAACAAGCAACAGUUGUUUUGAUGCAAUUAUCGCCUUAUUGGCAAGUUUUUACAUCUUCAAUAUUGACUACUGCCACACGAAGAGUAUCUUGUCUGCCUUGCAGACUAUAGUAGUGCAUGGGCAACACAGAAAAUGGCAUACAACUGCCAAUAGUGAGUUUAAGCAAGUGACGUUUUUGACAACACGGACGUCGACCAGAAGUAAAGUUGUAGUUUUUCACCAAUCACAGCCCUUGACCCAGUCUUCUGACGUUGCUCAUACCGUCCGUGUUGUCAAAAACGUCAUUUGCUUAAGCUCACUAAUGAGGGUCACAGCCCUCUUCAAUGACUUGUCAUGACUCAUGAAUAUUAGUACUACAGUAAUUUUACACUUUUUGAGAGUUAUGUUGACAUAUGCUAACCCAAGUUAAUGUUAUUGAUGGAAUGUGUGUAUUAUCUCACCGAACUGUGGUAAUGUAUUAGAAAUUAUUCGUAUUGCGUUCACGUUAACAACCGCGCCUGCUAUUGCUAUCACAAGUUGAUUGCUCUUUAAAAUUAGAAUUGUAAACUUUCGGAGCCAUAUGGCAUAUAUGUACGAAUCUUUUGAUGGUUCCCACAUUUCGGUGAGAUACAUAAUACUGACUACUGUGCAUGUAUAUUGUAAUUUUAGUUAUAGUAUUGUGUUUAUAAUACAGAAAUUGGAACAUUAUUUAUC
rnacentral:lncRNA from 1 species